UGGGGAAUCUUGCACAAUGGAGGAAACUCUGAUGCAGCGACGCCGCGUGAGUGAAGAAGGUCUUCGGAUCGUAAAACUCUGUCCUUGGUGACGAAAAAAAUGACGGUAGCCAAGGAGGAAGCCCCGGCUAACUACGUGCCAGCAGCCGCGGUAAUACGUAGGGGGCGAGCGUUGUCCGGAUUUACUGGGCGUAAAGGGUGAGUAGGCGGUAAUAUGUGUCAGAUGUAAAAGGCUAUGGCUUAACCAUAGUUGGCAUUUGAAACUGUAUUACUUGAGUGCAGGAGAGGUAAGUGGAAUUCCUAGUGUAGCGGUGAAAUGCGUAGAUAUUAGGAGGAACACCAGUGGCGAAGGCGACUUACUGGACUGUAACUGACGCUGAGUCACGAAAGCGUGGGUAGCAAACA
rnacentral:rRNA from 1 species